rnacentral:tRNA from 1 species
GCUCCCAUAGCUCAAUUGAAUAGAGCUACAGCCUUCUAAGCUGUGGGUUUCCAGUUUGAAUCUGGAUGGGAGCA